GAGUUUCAUCAUGGCUCACAACGAACGCUGGCGGCAGGCUUAACACAUGCAAGUCGAACGAGAAACCGGAGCUUGCUCCGGCGGACAGUGGCAGACGGGUGAGUAACGCGUAGCAACCUACCUUUCAGUACGGAAUAGCCCUUGGAAACGAGGUGUAAUACCGUAUACGUCCUUCCUUUAUUGGCGGGAGAAAGAUUUAUCGCUGAUAGAUGGGGCUGCGUUGGAUUAGCUAGUUGGUGAGGUAAGAGCUCACCAAGGCGACGAUCUAUAGCGGGUCUGAGAGGAUGAUCCGCCACACUGGGACUGAGACACGGCCCAGACUCCUACGGGAGGCAGCAGUGGGGAAUCUUGGACAAUGGGCGAAAGCCUGAUCCAGCCAUGCCGCGUGAAUGAUGAAGGCCUUAGGGUUGUAAAAUUCUUUCGCUAGGGAAGAUAAUGACUGUACCUAGUAAAGAAGCCCCGGCUAACUCCGUGCCAGCAGCCGCGGUAAUACGGAGGGGGCUAGCGUUGUUCGGAAUUACUGGGCGUAAAGCGUCCGCAGGCGGAUGAUUAAGUUAGAGGUGAAAUCCCAGGGCUCAACCCUGGAACUGCCUUUAAAACUGGUCAUCUAGAGUUAUGGAGAGGUAAGUGGAAUUCCUAGUGUAGAGGUGAAAUUCGUAGAUAUUAGGAGGAACACCAGAGGCGAAGGCGGCUUACUGGACAUAUACUGACGCUGAGGGACGAAAGUGUGGGGAGCGAACGGGAUUAGAUACCCCGGUAGUCCACACCGUAAACGAUGAGAGCUAGUUGUCUGCAGGCUUGCCUGUAGGUGAC
rnacentral:rRNA from 1 species